rnacentral:misc_RNA from 1 species
GAUGAAGAACGUAGCGAAAUGCGAUAAGUAAUGUGAAUUGCAGAAUUCAGUGAAUCAUCGAGUCUUUGAACGCACAUUGCGCCCCCUGGUAUUCCGGGGGGCAUGCCUGUCCGAGCGUCAUUGCCGCCCUCAAGCACGGCUUGUGUGUUGGGCCCCCGCCCCCCGGCUCCGGGGGGCGGGCCCGAAAGGCAGCGGCGGCACCGCGUCCGGUCCUCGAGCGUAUGGGGCUUCGUCACCCGCUCUGUAGGCCCGGCCGGCGCCCGCCGGCGACCCCAAUCAAUCUUUCCAGGUUGACCUCGGAUCAGGUAGGGAUACCCGCUGAACUUAAGCAUAUCAAUAAGCGGAGGA